AUGUCCCAGCCACAGAAACGCCUUACAGCGAGGCUUCCUCACCACCCGAAGGGGCUUUAUUCUCCCUCUGCCAGUGUUCUGGUCACCACAACCAAUCGUAUCCCCCUCUCACACCACACUGUGAAUUUGCAUAAAGGAGAGCGUGGAGCUAGCUACCGAAGAGGCGAGGAGAAGCCCACCCGGCUCCAGAAGAAGCCCCCAGCCAGCUCCCGAGAGGGAGCCGGGCGCUCGCAGACCCGGCCAGAGACCGCCGAGCGUGUCCGCAGCAGCUGGACCGGCGCCGGCCGGUCCGCCGAGGAGCCUCAGCUACGCGGACAGCCGGCGCUGUCAGACACGCUCCGAGCCCAGCCGACCCGAUCCCUUCUCGCGUUUGUCAGCCUCAACUCUUCCAGACUCUUCUCUCGGCUCUGGAAAGGCCCACGUUUCCCAAGACUCGACCCCCCACCGCCCGCACACUGGUACCUGGGUGGCUGGCACAUGACUCUCUCCAUCCUGUCCCCAGGACCGGGCGGGAGCGAGGGCCAGGCGCCGCAUCCUCCCUCCCCGGCUCCCCUGGCUGGCCCCGACCCCGACCCCGACCCCGACCCCGACCCAGCCGCCCGCACGCGCUGCACAAAGCACGCCGCCCCGCCGGCCCGGACAAAGCGUUCCCGGCGCCGGCACCUACCUCGGUGCGGAGCGCCGGCCCCGCAGGCGGGAGCGCGGCGAGCGGGGGCGCACCGGUGGUCGCUGCGCCCGCAGCCCUCCGCGAGGGGCGGUUGCGGGCGGCGGCGGGUGGCCCGGAGGCGGCGGGGCGCACAGCGGGCGGCGGGCGGGCGCUGUCACGGGGCGCGAGCUGCGCGGGGGGCGCGCGGGGCCGGCGGCGGCGGGGCGCGUGGCGGCGCGCGGGCGCGAGCGGCGGGACUGCGGCGCCGCGGAUGGAGGACAAUAGCCUCCCCCUGCCGCAGGCCGGCGGCUCCCGCGGGAGGCCCGGGACCAUCUGGAGCCCGCGGCCCCGCGGGGCUCGGGGCGGGGCCCGAGUCACCCCCUCCCUGCCCGGCGCCAUGGCAACCGCGGCCCCUCUCGGUUCUCCGCGCGGCUCCCGGGCCCGGGGUCGCUGACCUUCCCCGGGGCGAACGCGGAGGCGGCUUCGCUGCCGGCUCCCGACCGUCCCCCACCUUCCCUGUGGGUGUCCCCCAAACCCGCCUUCCGGUCCUCGCCGGCCCUGGGUCACCCCUGGGCCGUCUGGGUACCUCCCACAGCUUGCCCCCACAGCUUGCCGGGCUGGAUCUCCGCAGUUUGAGUACCCCACCUUUGUCCCUACUCCGCUUCUCCUCCAAAAUCUGUGUCCCCAGAAAGCGCAAUCCUUCCUUUAAUGGCACUCACCGCCCAGAAGGUUUCCAGUAUCCAGCCUCUGUUUUCCUUUUCAAAUUUUCCUCUUUGGGCACCUCCAGUCCAUCUCCCUUUAAGCAUUUCCUUCACGCAUCCCUUCUCUCUCGCGUCCUCCUUCAGGCAGGUAGGCCGGCUCUCUUUCCCAAAGCAUCUCCAUGGUACAUGUGGUGGAGAUUCGCCUUCUGGCGGAUCAGAUUCUCGGAACAGUCAUCGCUGCGGCUCUCGGCUCCUUCUCAGCUCCUCUCAUUUAUCAACCGGGAGAAUUCCGGCCUACUCACUGUCUUAAGAGGGAGUGGGGGCGGGGAUGGACAUUUCUAG
rnacentral:lncRNA from 1 species